UACAGAGGGGGCAAGCGUUGUUCGGAAUCACUGGGCUUAAAGGGUGCGUAGGCGGCGCAGUAAGUUGGGUGUGAAAUCCCUCGGCUUAACCGAGGAAUUGCGCCCAAAACUACUGUGCUCGAGGGAGGUAGAGGUGAGCGGAACUUAGGGUGGAGCGGUGAAAUGCGUUGAUAUCCUAAGGAACACCGGUGGCGAAAGCGGCUCACUGGACCUCUUCUGACGCUGAGGCACGAAAGCUAGGGUAGCAAACGGG
rnacentral:rRNA from 1 species